GUGAAUCAUCGAAUUUUUGAACGCAUAUUGCACUCUCUGGUAUUCCGGAGAGUAUGCCUAUUUGAGGGUCAUUGGAAAUAAUAUAACUUUCAAUAUUUCUCGGAAUGUAGAAUGUGUUGUCCAUUUGUUGUGGUCGCCUAAAAUCCAAGUCAAGCUCAUUGUAUUGGAUUGCGUGAUACUUUCAGUUACCUCGUACCUUAACCAGAAUUAAUCAGGCGUUUUAU
rnacentral:misc_RNA from 1 species